rnacentral:rRNA from 1 species
UACGGAGGGAGCUAGCGUUGUUCGGAAUUACUGGGCGUAAAGCGCGCGUAGGCGGCUUUGUAAGUUAGAGGUGAAAGCCCGGAGCUCAACUCCGGAACUGCCUUUAAAACUGCAUCGCUUGAAUCCAGGAGAGGUGAGUGGAAUUCCGAGUGUAGAGGUGAAAUUCGUAGAUAUUGGGAAGAACACCGGUGGCGAAGGCGGCUCACUGGCUCGUAACUGACGCUCAUGCACGACAGCGUGGGGAUCAAACAGG